CACAUCUAUAAAUAAGAGGAGUCUUAUUAUGGGUGUUGGAGUUUUGUUGACUUUUUCACAAUAUACGCAAUUCCAAUAGUUGGGAGAGUACGUUCUUUUUCUAUAGAGAUAGAAAACUAGGGUUUAGCCAAACACCCAUCUUCUUGAAUCUUUCUUCUUCCUUGGUGGAUCACCUCUAGAGGCCAAACACUUGGGUGGCUAACGUUGAUCAAAGGAAGGAACCAAACCCGGUGGAUUCAAGUUGAACACGAAAAGAAUUUGGAGGUGAACUAGUACCUGAGGAAGCUC
rnacentral:lncRNA from 1 species